rnacentral:rRNA from 1 species
CCUACGGGUGGCAGCAGUGAGGAAUAUUGGUCAAUGGACGAGAGUCUGAACCAGCCAAGUAGCGUGAAGGAUGACUGCCCUAUGGGUUGUAAACUUCUUUUAUAUGGGAAUAAAACGUUCCACGUGUGGGAUUUUGUAUGUACCAUAUGAAUAAGGAUCGGCUAACUCCGUGCCAGCAGCCGCGGUAAUACGGAGGAUCCGAGCGUUAUCCGGAUUUAUUGGGUUUAAAGGGAGCGUAGGUGGAUUGUUAAGUCAGUUGUGAAAGUUUGCGGCUCAACCGUAAAGUUGCAGUUGAAACUGGCAGUCUUGAGUACAGUAGAGGUGGGCGGAAUUCGUGGUGUAGCGGUGAAAUGCUUAGAUAUCACGAAGAACUCCGAUUGCGAAGGCAGUUCACUGGACUGCAACUGACACUGAGGCUCGAAAGUGUGGGUAUCAAACAGGAUUAGAUACCCUUGUAGUC